rnacentral:rRNA from 1 species
AUUGAACGCUGGCGGCAGGCCUAACACAUGCAAGUCGAGCGAGCGGCGGACGGGUGAGUAAUGUCAGGGAAACUGCCUGAUGGAGUUGGAUAACUACAGGAAACGGUAGCUAAUACCGCACACCAUCAGACUGGCCCAGAUGGGAGUAGCUAGUAGGUGGGGUAAUGGCUCACCUAGGAGACGAUCCCUAGCUGGUCUUAUAGGAAGACCAGCCACACUGGGACUUAGACACGGUCCAGACUCCUCCGGGAGGCAGCAGUGGGGAAUAUUGGACAAGGGGCGCAAGCCUUAUGCAGCCAUGCCGCGUGUGCGAAGAAGGCCUUCGGGUUGUAAAGCACUUUUAGCAGGGAGGCGUUACCCGCAGAAGAAGCACCGGCUAACUACGUGCCAGCAGCCGCGGUAAUAC